rnacentral:rRNA from 1 species
UUCCGGUACGUACUGAUCUCCAUUACUAGCGAUUCCGGCUUCAUGGAGUCGAGUUGCAGACUCCAAUCUGAACUGGGCCUGGCUUUAGGGAUUUCCUCCACCUCGCGGUCUUGGUUCCUUUUGUACCAGGCAUUGUAGCACGUGUGCAGCCCUAGAUGUAAGGGCCAUACUGACUUGACGUCAUCCCCACCUUCCCACCCUAACGGGUUAGUCCCUCCAGAGUCCCCGACUUUACUCGCUGGUAACUGGAGGCGAGGGUUGCGCUCGUUGCCGGACUUAACCGAACAUCUCACGACACGAGCUGACGACAGCCAUGCAGCACCUGUGAACGCUCCCUUGCGGGUCCCCAAAGCUUUCGCCCCGGGUACCACGUCCAUGUCAAACCUA